rnacentral:rRNA from 1 species
UGGGGAAUCUUGGACAAUGGGCGCAAGCCUGAUCCAGCCAUGCCGCGUGAGUGAUGAAGGCCUUAGGGUUGUAAAGCUCUUUUGCCGGGGACGAUAAUGACGGUACCCGGAGAAUAAGUCCCGGCUAACUUCGUGCCAGCAGCCGCGGUAAUACGAAGGGGACUAGCGUUGUUCGGAAUCACUGGGCGUAAAGCGCACGUAGGCGGAUUUGUAAGUCAGGGGUGAAAUCCCGGGGCUCAACCUCGGAACUGCCUUUGAUACUGCGGAUCUCGAGUCCGAUAGAGGUGAGUGGAAUUCCUAGUGUAGAGGUGAAAUUCGUAGAUAUUAGGAAGAACACCGGUGGCGAAGGCGGCUCACUGGAUCGGUACUGACGCUGAGGUGCGAAAGCGUGGGGAGCAAACAGGAUUAGAUACCCCUGUAGUCCCUGAGCGGGCUGGCAAGGCGCAU